rnacentral:rRNA from 1 species
GAUAAACGCUGGCGGCGCACAUAAGACAUGCAAGUCGAACGAACUUAACCAUAAGUUUACUUUUGGAGCGGUUAGUGGCGGACUGGUGAGUAACGCGUAAGCAAUCUGCCUAUCAGAGGGGAAUAACAGUGAGAAAUCAUUGCUAAUACCGCAUAAGCUCUAAGUAGUGCAUGCUACAAAGAGAAAAGGAGCAAUCCGCUGAUAGAUGAGCUUGCGUCUGAUUAGUUAGUUGGUGAGGUAACGGCCCACCAAGACGAUGAUCAGUAGCCGGACUGAGAGGUUGAACGGCCACAUUGGGACUGAGAUACGGCCCAG